rnacentral:rRNA from 1 species
GGAUAGCCCCUCGAAAGAGGGAUUAAUACCUCAUAACACUGCGAGAAGGCAUCUUUUUGCAGUUAAAGUUCCGACGGUUUAAGAUGGGCAUGCGCGGCAUUAGCUAGUUGGUGAGGUAACGGCUCACCAAGGCUGUGAUGUCUAGGGGUUCUGAGAGGAAAAUCCCCCACACUGGUACUGAGACACGGACCAGACUCCUACGGGAGGCAGCAGUAAGGAAUAUUGGUCAAUGGGCGCAAGCCUGAACCAGCCAUGCCGCGUGCAGGAUGACGACCCUAUGGGUUGUAAACUGCUUUUGUACGGGAAAAAACCCUCCGACGUGUCGGGGGCUGAUGGUACCGUAAGAAUAAGGAUCGGCUAACUCCGUGCCAGCAGCCGCGGUAAUACGGAGGAUCCUAGCGUUAUCCGGAUUUAUUGGGUUUAAAGGGUGCGCAGGCGGAAUAAUAAGUCAGUGGUGAAAUCCUGCAGCUUAACUGCAGAACUGCCAUUGAUACUGUUAUUCUUGAGUAUAUUUGAAGUGGGCGGAAUGUGUCAUGUAGCGGUGAAAUGCUUAGAUAUGACACAGAACACCAAUUGCGAAGGCAGCUCACUAAGCUAUAACUGACGCUCAUGCACGAAAGCGUGGGGAUCAAACAGGAUUAGAUACCCUGGUAGUCCACGCCGUAAACGAUGAUUACUCGAUGUUGGUGAUACACAAUCAGCGUCUAAGCGAAAGCAAUAAGUAAUCC